AGCGCUGCGGUGUCUGCAGCCAGUUGUUUCAUCAGCUGGUUUGUUUAAAUAGCAGUGCAAGAAAAUAUCAGCAUCAGGCAUCGUUGGUCUCCCAGCUCCUCAUGUUGGGAGUCCUGGAAUAGUGGCUGAAACAACCAAAGUCUUGACUAGGAA
ensembl:snoRNA